CCAAGGCAGUACCCUUAGGACAGGAGGUAACUGAAUAAAACUGAAUUAUUAAAACGCUCAGCCUGACUUAUGCAGGAUCCAACCAUUAAAUCCUGUCACAUACAUGAUUUCAUUACCUGUUUUCAUUACUACUCUUCUAAAAAGAAAAUUACGAAAAGUAUGAGAAAUCAUACCAUUUCCUUUCCUACCUUCUCUAUGCUAGAACUUAAAAGCAUUUCAAUCAUACUUUAAAAGAAUAAGCCCAAAGUGUUGCUAACAUUUAUGUUCAGCUAACUGUUGCCACCUUAAUUUUCCAAAGAUGUACAACAUGCAGGCAAUAAUGCUGUAUAAAACAAACACUAGGACAAGGAAAGCAAACGAAAUUACAAUCACGUUUACAUAUUAUCACUGCUCAUUAACAUUUCAAUUUUGCCCUGCGACGGGUGCUUAUGAUAAUGAAGU
rnacentral:lncRNA from 1 species